rnacentral:rRNA from 1 species
GAUGAACGCUGGCGGCGUGCCUAAUACAUGCAAGUCGAGCGAACAGACGAGGAGCUUGCUCCUCUGACGUUAGCGGCUGACGGGUGAGUAACACGUGGAUAACCUACCUAUAAGACUGGGAUAACUUCGGGAAACCGGAGCUAAUACCGGAUAAUAUAUUGAACCGCAUGGUUCAAUAGUGAAAGACGGUUUUGCUGUCACUUAUAGAUGGAUCCGCGCCGCAUUAGCUAGUUGGUAAGGUAACGGCUUACCAAGGCAACGAUGCGUAGCCGACCUGAGAGGGUGAUCGGCCACACUGGAACUGAGACACGGUCCAGACUCCUACGGGAGGCAGCAGUAGGGAAUCUUCCGCAAUGGGCGAAAGCCUGACGGAGCAACGCCGCGUGAGUGAUGAAGGUCUUCGGAUCGUAAAACUCUGUUAUUAGGGAAGAACAAAUGUGUAAGUAACUAUGCACGUCUUGACGGUACCUAAUCAGAAAGCCACGGCUAACUACGUG